rnacentral:rRNA from 1 species
UACGUAGGCAGCAAGCGUUGUUCGGAGUUACUGGGCGUAAAGAGUGCGUAGGCGGUUUCGCGUGUCCGGUGUGAAAUCUCCCGGCUUAACUGGGAGGGUGCGCCGGAAACUGCGGAGCUCGAGUGUGGGAGAGGUAAGCGGAAUUCCUGGUGUAGCGGUGAAAUGCGUAGAUAUCAGGAGGAACACCUGCGGUGUAGACGGCUUACUGGACCACGACUGACGCUGAGGCACGAAAGCGUGGGGAGCAAACAGG